UCUCUGCUGAACAUGAAUGUGCACAUUUA
rnacentral:piRNA from 1 species